rnacentral:rRNA from 1 species
GAUGAACGCUGGCGGCGUGCCUAAUACAUGCAAGUCGAGCGAACGGACGAGAAUCUUGCUUUUCUGAUGUUAGCGGCGGACGGGUGAGUAACACGUGGAUAACCUACCUAUAAGACUGGGAUAACUUCGGGAAACCGGCGCUAAUACCGUAUAAUAUUUUGAACCGCAUGGUUCAAAAGUGAAAGACGGUCUUGCUGUCACUUAUAGAUGGAUCCGCGCUGCAUUAGCUAGUUGGUAAGGUAACGGCUUACCAAGGCAACGAUGCAUAGCCGACCUGAGAGAGUGAUAGGCCACACGGGAACUGAGACAGGGUCAAGACUACUACGGGAGGCAGCAGUAGGGAAUGUGACGCAAUGGGCGAAAGCCUGACGGAGCAACGCCGCGUGAGUGAUGAAGGUCUUCGGAUCGUAAAACUCGGUUAUGAGGGAAGAACAGAUGUGGAAGUAAAUGUGCACAUAUUGACGGUACCUAAUCAGAAAGCCACGGCUAACUACGUG